UUGACCGUCGCACAUAGGAAGUGCAACUGAUUGUAGCUCAGAAGGUUAUGGUUCGAUUCCAUAUGGUCAGA
rnacentral:tRNA from 1 species